rnacentral:rRNA from 1 species
GAUGAACGCUGGCGGCGUGCCUAAUACAUGCAAGUCGAGCGAACAGACGAGGAGCUUGCUCCUCUGACGUUAGCGGCGGACGGGUGAGUAACACGUGGAUAACCUACCUAUAAGACUGGGAUAACUUCGGGAAACCGGAGCUAAUACCGGAUAAUAUAUUGAACCGCAUGGUUCAAUAGUGAAAGACGGUUUUGCUAUCACUUAUAGAUGGAUCCGCGCCGCAUUAGCUAGUUGGUAAGGUAACGGCUUACCAAGGCAACGAUGCGUAGCCGACCUGAGAGGGUGAUCGGCCACACUGGAACUGAGACACGGUCCAGACUCCUACGGGAGGCAGCAGUAGGGAAUCUUCCGCAAAGGGCGAAAGCCUGACGGAGCAACGCCGCGUGAGUGAUGAAGGUCUUCGGAUCGUAAAACUCUGUUAUUAGGGAAGAACAAAUGUGUAAGUAACUAUGCACGUCUUGACGGUACCUAAUCAGAAAGCCACGGCUAACUACGUG